AUUGAACGCUGGCGGCAUGCUUUACACAUGCAAGUCGAACGGUAACAGGCCGCAAGGUGCUGACGAGUGGCGCACGGGUGAGUAAUGCAUCGGAACGUGCCCAGUCGUGGGGGAUAACUACUCGAAAGAGUAGCUAAUACCGCAUACGAUCUAUGGAUGAAAGCGGGGGGCCGUAAGGCCUCGCGCGGUUGGAGCUGCCGAUGUCAGAUUAGGUAGUUGGUGGGGUGAAGGCUCACCAAGCCAACAAUCUGUAGCUGGUCUGAGAGGACGACCAGCCACACUGGGACUGAGACACGGCCCAGACUCCCACGGGAGGCAGCAGUGGGGAAUUUUGGACAAUGGGCGCAAGCCUGAUCCAGCAAUGCCGCGUGCAGGAAGAAGGCCUUCGGGUUGUAAACUGCUUUUGUACGGAACGAAACGGCUCUGGUUAAUACCCGGGGCUAAUGACGGUACCGUAAGAAUAAGCACCGGCUAACUACGUG
rnacentral:rRNA from 1 species